rnacentral:rRNA from 1 species
GUCGCGUGCAGGAAGACUGCCCUAUGGGUUGUAAACUGCUUUUGUACGGGAAGAAAAUCAGCUACGUGUAGUUGUUUGCCGGUACCGUACGAAUAAGGAUCGGCUAACUCCGUGCCAGCAGCCGCGGUAAUACGGAGGAUCCGAGCGUUAUCCGGAUUUAUUGGGUUUAAAGGGUGCGUAGGCGGACUAGUAAGUCAGUGGUGAAAUCCUGCAGCUUAACUGUAGAAUUGCCGUUGAUACUGUUAGUCUUGAGUACAUUUGAGGUAGGCGGAAUGUGGUGUGUAGCGGUGAAAUGCAUAGAUAUACCACAGAACACCGAUUGCGAAGGCAGCUUACUAAACUGUAACUGACGCUGAGGCACGAAAGCGUG